UCAAGAUCUUAUAUUCUUCGUGACAAUCUCAUUUCCAUUUUCUUGUGCAAAAAUGAGGAGAAUAUCAAAUAAACAAAGAAAAAUCAUCUUCAAAAUAAUUUUAGCACCCAUUAGAAUUUUUAAAAGAGCAAGGGACUUCUAUGUAAAAGGCAUGGAAGGUUGCGCCAGAAAGGUUGGCUGGAACGCCGUGGUAUUUGGUGGUCCGGUGAUGUCUCAACAUAUGUUCUUGCCGGAGAAUUUUGGCCUUAAAUCUUCAAAAUCAAGCUCAAAAAACAAUGAGGGAAAUAAUAAAGUUUUAAGGGGAAAAAGUGAAAGAAAAUCACCAAAAGUGUAGUUUCGAAACUAUUGAUGAAGACAUGCCAUCUUUCUAAAGAAAGAGGAGAAUGGACAAAGGUGAACACAUAUUAUACUUAAUCAACUUUCAUUUAUGAGUGGCAUUGUGAUUGUAUGUUUUGAAUUAUGAGUUCGAUUCCUAAUUAAAAAUAUGUUUAGGAAUCAUUUGAUUUCAGUGUACCGAUGUGGAUAUCAGUUCAUAAACAAGAAUUAAUUUGAUUUGUUUUUUUGUUUUUGCUCAA